CUGACCUCUGAAAUUCAGCCACUGAGGCUUCCCUGGUCCCUCAGCUCUUCCUCCUCACCUCAAAGUGUCCAUCUGGGCAAGUAUCCAUCUGGUACCUCCCCACCCCCGAGGAAAUUAACUGGAAAAUGAUCAGCUGUAUUUUGGGAGCAGGGUAGCGGCAAUUGAACUCAGGACCUUUGGCUUGCCAGGCAGGCGCUUGUGCCGCUGAGCUACAUCCCCAGCAGUCAGCUGUAUUUUGACUGAGUGCUGCUCAGCCCUGCAGGAGGACAAAGUAAAUGCCCACCCAGUAUUUGCUAAGAGUGUUCCUGUUUUUCCCUAACCUUUUCUGCUUUUC
rnacentral:lncRNA from 1 species